GGGUUGUGAGGUUAAGCGACUAAGCGUACACGGUGGAUGCCCUGGCAGUCAGAGGCGAUGAAGGGCGUGCUAAUCUGCGAUAAGCGCCGGUAAGGUGAUAUGAACCGUUAUAACCGGCGAUACCCGAAUGGGGAAACCCAGUGUGAUUCGUCACACUAUCAUUAACUGAAUCCAUAGGUUAAUGAGGCGAACCGGGGGAACUGAAACAUCUAAGUACCCCGAGGAAAAGAAAUCAACCGAGAUUCCCCCAGUAGCGGCGAGCGAACGGGGAGGAGCCCAGAGCCUGAAUCAGCAUGUGUGUUAGUGGAAGCGUCUGGAAAGGCGCGCGAUACAGGGUGACAGCCCCGUACACAAAAGCGCAUGUGCUGUGAGCUCGAUGAGUAGGGCGGGACACGUGGUAUCCUGUCUGAAUAUGGGGGGACCAUCCUCCAAGGCUAAAUACUCCUGACUGACCGAUAGUGAACCAGUACCGUGAGGGAAAGGCGAAAAGAACCCCGGCGAGGGGAGUGAAAAAGAACCUGAAACCGUGUACGUACAAGCAGUGGGAGCACAGGUUUACCUGUGUGACUGCGUACCUUUUGUAUAAUGGGUCAGCGACUUAUAUUCUGUAGCAAGGUUAACCGUAUAGGGGAGCCGGAGGGAAACCGAGUCUUAACCGGGCGUUAAGUUGCAGGGUAUAGACCCGAAACCCGGUGAUCUAGCCAUGGGCAGGUUGAAGGUUGGGUAACACUAACUGGAGGACCGAACCGACUAAUGUUGAAAAAUUAGCGGAUGACCUGUGGCUGGGGGUGAAAGGCCAAUCAAACCGGGAGAUAGCUGGUUCUCCCCGAAAGCUAUUUAGGUAGCGCCUCGUGAAUUCAUCUCCGGGGGUAGAGCACUGUUUCGGCUAGGGGGCCAUCCCGGCUUACCAACCCGAUGCAAACUGCGAAUACCGGAGAAUGUUAUCACGGGAGACACACGGCGGGUGCUAACGUCCGUCGUGAAGAGGGAAACAACCCAGACCGCCAGCUAAGGUCCCAAAGUCAUGGUUAAGUGGGAAACGAUGUGGGAAGGCCCAGACAGCCAGGAUGUUGGCUUAGAAGCAGCCAUCAUUUAAAGAAAGCGUAAUAGCUCACUGGUCGAGUCGGCCUGCGCGGAAGAUGUAACGGGGCUAAACCAUGCACCGAAGCUGCGGCAGCGAACGUAUCACUUAAAGCGAUUCAGCGGGUUACGAUUGACGGAGCGAAGCGACGUCAAAGCGUAUACAAAGUCGAGUCGGUUUAAGGAUACGUUCGUUGGGUAGGGGAGCGUUCUGUAAGCCUGUGAAGGUGUGUCGUGAGGCAUGCUGGAGGUAUCAGAAGUGCGAAUGCUGACAUAAGUAACGAUAAAGCGGGUGAAAAGCCCGCUCGCCGGAAGACCAAGGGUUCCUGUCCAACGUUAAUCGGGGCAGGGUGAGUCGACCCCUAAGGCGAGGCCGAAAGGCGUAGUCGAUGGGAAACGGGUUAAUAUUCCCGUACUUGGUGUUACUGCGAAGGGGGGACGGAGAAGGCUAUGUUGGCCGGGCGACGGUUGUCCCGGUUUAAGCGUGUAGGUGUGUGUUCCAGGUAAAUCCGGUUCACUUUAACACUGAGGCGUGAUGACGAGGCACUACGGUGCUGAAGCAACAAAUGCCCUGCUUCCAGGAAAAGCCUCUAAGCAUCAGGUAACAUCAAAUCGUACCCCAAACCGACACAGGUGGUCAGGUAGAGAAUACCAAGGCGCUUGAGAGAACUCGGGUGAAGGAACUAGGCAAAAUGGUGCCGUAACUUCGGGAGAAGGCACGCUGACACGUAGGUGAAGUGAUUUACUCAUGGAGCUGAAGUCAGUCGAAGAUACCAGCUGGCUGCAACUGUUUAUUAAAAACACAGCACUGUGCAAACACGAAAGUGGACGUAUACGGUGUGACGCCUGCCCGGUGCCGGAAGGUUAAUUGAUGGGGUCAGCGCAAGCGAAGCUCCUGAUCGAAGCCCCGGUAAACGGCGGCCGUAACUAUAACGGUCCUAAGGUAGCGAAAUUCCUUGUCGGGUAAGUUCCGACCUGCACGAAUGGCGUAAUGAUGGCCAGGCUGUCUCCACCCGAGACUCAGUGAAAUUGAACUCGCUGUGAAGAUGCAGUGUACCCGCGGCAAGACGGAAAGACCCCGUGAACCUUUACUAUAGCUUGACACUGAACAUUGAGCCUUGAUGUGUAGGAUAGGUGGGAGGCUUUGAAGCGUGGACGCCAGUCUGCGUG
rnacentral:rRNA from 1 species